rnacentral:rRNA from 1 species
UACGUAGGGUGCAGGCGUUAAUCGGAAUUACUGGGCGUAAAGCGUGCGCAGGUGGUUUGCUAAGACAGGUGUGAAAUCCCCGAGCUUAACUUGGGAAUUGCGCUUGUAACUGGCAAGCUUGAGUGUGGCAGAGGGGGGUGGAAUUCCACGUGUAGCGGUGAAAUGCGUAGAUAUGUGGAGGAACACCGAUGGCGAAGGCAGCGCCCUGGGUUAACACUGACGCUGAUGCACGAAAGCGAGGGGAGCAAACAGG